GACGAACGUUGGCGGCGUACUUAACACAUGCAAGUCGAACGGAAAGGCCCUGCUUUUGUGGGGUGCUCGAGUGGCGAACGGGUGAGUAACACGUGAGUAACCUGCCCUUGACUUUGGGAUAACUUCAGGAAACUGGGGCUAAUACCGGAUAGGAGCUCCUGCUGCAUGGUGGGGGUUGGAAAGUUUCGGCGGUUGGGGAUGGACUCGCGGCUUAUCAGCUUGUUGGUGGGGUAGUGGCUUACCAAGGCUUUGACGGGUAGCCGGCCUGAGAGGGUGACCGGCCACAUUGGGACUGAGAUACGGCCCAGACUCCUACGGGAGGCAGCAGUGGGGAAUAUUGCACAAUGGGCGGAAGCCUGAUGCAGCAACGCCGCGUGCGGGAUGACGGCCUUCGGGUUGUAAACCGCUUUCGCCUGUGACGAAGCGUGAGUGACGGUAAUGGGUAAAGAAGCACCGGCUAACUACGUGCCAGCAGCCGCGGUGAUACGUAGGGUGCGAGCGUUGUCCGGAUUUAUUGGGCGUAAAGGGCUCGUAGGUGGUUGAUCGCGUCGGAAGUGUAAUCUUGGGGCUUAACCCUGAGCGUGCUUUCGAUACGGGUUGACUUGAGGAAGGUAGGGGAGAAUGGAAUUCCUGGUGGAGCGGUGGAAUGCGCAGAUAUCAGGAGGAACACCAGUGGCGAAGGCGGUUCUCUGGGCCUUUCCUGACGCUGAGGAGCGAAAGCGUGGGGAGCGAACAGGCUUAGAUACCCUGGUAGUCCACGCUGUAAACGGUGGGUACUAGGUGUGGGGUCCAUUCCACGGGUUCCGUGCCGUAGCUAACGCUUUAAGUACCCCGCCUGGGGAGUACGGCCGCAAGGCUAAAACUCAAAGGAAUUGACGGGGCCCCGCACAAGCGGCGGAGCAUGCGGAUUAAUUCGAUGCAACGCGUAGAACCUUACCUGGGUUUGACAUGGAUCGGGAGUGCUCAGAGAUGGGUGUGCCUCUUUUGGGGUCGGUUCACAGGUGGUGCAUGCCUGUCGUCAGCUCGUGUCGUGAGAUGUUGGGUUAAGUCCCGCAACGAGCGCAACCCUUGUUCACUGUUGCCAGCACGUUAUGGUGGGGACUCAGUGGAGACCGCCGGGGUCAACUCGGAGGAAGGUGGGGAUGACGUCAAGUCAUCAUGCCCCUUAUGUCCAGGGCUUCACGCAUGCUACAAUGGCUGGUACAGAGAGUGGCGAGCCUGUGAGGGUGAGCGAAUCUCGGAAAGCCGGUCUCAGUUCGGAUUGGGGUCUGCAACUCGACCUCAUGAAGUCGGAGUCGCUAGUAAUCGCAAAUCAGCAACGCUGCGGUGAAUACGUUCCCGGG
rnacentral:rRNA from 1 species